rnacentral:rRNA from 1 species
AUUGAACGCUGGCGGCAGGCCUAACACAUGCAAGUCGAACGCGUGGCGGACGGGUGAGUAAUGUCUGGGAAACUGCCUGAUGGAGGGGGAUAACUAAUGGAAACGGUAGCUAAUACCGCAUACCAUCGGAUGUGCCCAGAUGGGAUUAGCUAGUAGGUGGGUUAACGGCUCACCAAGGCGACGAUCCCUAGCUGGUCUGAGAGGGUGACAAGCCACACUGGAACUGAGACACGGUCCAGACUCCUACGUGAGGCAGCAGUGGGGAAUAUUGCACAAUGGGCGCAAGCCUGAUGCAGCCAUGCCGCGUGUAUGAAGAAGGCCUUCGGUUUGUAAAGUACUUUCAGCGGGGAGGCGUUACCCGCAGAAGAAGCACCGGCUAACUCCGUGCCAGCCGCCGCGGUAAUUC